UUAAACUUUAAUAAACCAUGGGAAGUGAAAUCCAAAGUAUAAAAGCUUAAACCAUUGAAAUUCAUGGAAAAAUUGUAUUAUGUUGUUGUUAAUGGACAAGUUUAACACCAUCAUUUAUAGGUUUAGAUUAUACAUGUUGUGACAAUGGAAUGAAUCUAUUUGGAACGGUGUAAAAAUCUCAAGUAACGAAGUUAUGGCGGAAUUUAC
rnacentral:lncRNA from 1 species